GGAUGUGAGGGCGAUCUGGCUGCGACAUCUGUCACCCCAUUGAUCACCAGGGUUGAUUCGGCUGAUCUGGCUGGCUAGGCGGGUGUCCCCCUCCUCCCUCACCAAUCCAUGUGCGUCCCUCCCGAAGCUGCGUGCUCUGUCGAAGAGGACGACCUCCCUCCUCCCCCCCCCCCCCCCCCUAGCCAGGAGAGGACUAGUCUUCGGUCAAGAGGAGACGAGUAGCUGCACUCCCCUGCUAGAACCUCCAAACAAGCUCCCAAAAAAGCUGUAGUGUAUUUACACAAUGGAAUACUACUCUGCCAUAAAAAGGAAGAAAAUUUUACCUUUU
ensembl:misc_RNA 7SK 7SK RNA